UCAGACUGGAUCCUGGGACAGU
rnacentral:misc_RNA from 1 species